rnacentral:rRNA from 1 species
UGCCCGAGUUGUAAUUUGGAGAGGGCAACUUUGGGGCCGUUCCUUGUCUAUGUUCCUUGGAACAGGACGUCAUAGAGGGUGAGAAUCCCGUGUGGCGAGGAGUGCGGUUCUUUGUAAAGUGCCUUCGAAGAGUCGAGUUGUUUGGGAAUGCAGCUCUAAGUGGGUGGUAAAUUCCAUCUAAAGCUAAAUAUUGGCGAGAGACCGAUAGCGAACAAGUACAGUGAUGGAAAGAUGAAAAGAACUUUGAAAAGAGAGUGAAAAAGUACGUGAAAUUGUUGAAAGGGAAGGGCAUUUGAUCAGACAUGGUGUUUUGUGCCCUCUGCUCCUUGUGGGUAGGGGAAUCUCGCAUUUCACUGGGCCAGCAUCAGUUUUGGUGGCAGGAUAAAUCCAUAGGAAUGUAGCUUGCCUCGGUAAGUAUUAUAGCCUGUGGGAAUACUGCCAGCUGGGACUGAGGACUGCGACGUAAGUCAAGGAUGCUG